rnacentral:tRNA from 1 species
GCCUGGGUGGCUCAGUCGGUUGAGCAUCCGACUUUGGCUUGGGUCAUGAUCUCGCAGUUCGUGAGUUCGAGCCCCGCGUCGGGCU